UGGUGCUAUAACUGGUAUGUUUUAAAAUUUCCUUUUCAAAGACCCAGAGCCCUGGCAGUGCAGUGAGAGUGGAGCCUGUGGAGCAGAAAGUGAAUCCCUGCACAGAAGAUCGUAAGGGAAAUGAAGUGACCUCAACUUCAGAGGACAGCAUUUUAUUGGAGACUCCAUAUUUUCCAAACACAAGAUGCUCCGAGGAGGAUAUGAUGACUCUGGAGUUUGUUGUCGUAUGGUCUAAAAAAAUUGUGUUUGAUGAAAAACUUGGCAAGAUUGUUGUUGCAGCCUAUAAUCAUCCCAGGAGAUACCAGGAAAUUGCUAGGAUGAAAAAAAGGUUCGAGAAUAACUGUGGGCUCCUUGUCGUAGGCCAAGCAACAAUUCCUGUUUCGGCUCUACGAAGCAGACAACCCAUCUAUUAUAAAUAUGGGGUUAUUGACAUGUACAGUUGUACAGGAGCAGUUCAGUUAGAGCAUAUUUAUAUAACAGCUCACAAAAAUCAAAAGGCUGAGUGUCACCGAGUUCUAGAUGUGCCCGAAUCAGCCAUCAAAGCAGGCGGAGUGUGGACCCAAUUUGAUGACAUCUGUCAGUCCCAGUCUGGCUCUGUAUCGAUAGGAAAGUCCAAAGAGACUGCUAGAGAGUCUAUCCUGAAGUUCCUGGAAGAUGAGCUUCUCCAAGACCUUUCUUACCGGAAGGACUUUGGUGAUGUGGAAAGGAAGCUUGACUGUUACAAAGAGUGCUUGAAAACCAGCAACAUCGGUGAUGCAGAGCGAAAAAUAAGUUCUUUCAAAACUGACUUUGACGAGAGAAAGGUGUAUGAUUACAUCUGCAAAUUCAUUGAAAAUAUACUCAGAAACCCCAGAUUUCAGCAUCCUAACAUUUCAGCGAUGGAUUUUCUCCUUUUUGCAUUAUGCACAGUAUUUUACCACAAUAUCCAUAUAAGUGCAGAGGCCAUGAGCAAGAUUGAACAAAUUGCCCAAAAUGUUGACUUGCAGGAAGGCAAAUUCACGAACCUGAAAGAACCAAGAAAAAGGAAGUGUAUUUUACCGCUGAAGCAUGCUUGCAUCCAAAGCGCCAAAGACUCUAAGAGCACAUGUUGGGUCUGGCUGCUUCCUUUGCUGUAUGCAGUUCAAAGGGACUUAUCUGAAAAGGCAGAGGACCGAGACAUGUGGUCGCUGCCUUUCGCUCAGCUGAGGCUGGAUGAAGAGAAGCAAACGAAGGUUCUGGCGAUGAUAAAAGCCCAUCAGACGUUCAUCGGGAGCUGCACCCCUCUGGCAGAGAAAGUUCUUGAGAUGCUUACCCUGAAGAAUUUUUGUAGAGAGCCUGUUCCUCACAUUCACGUGCCCCUGCAGCUUCUCUUGAACAACGUCUUCCAGCGGAUCACCAUUCGCGUAGCAGAGGGUCAUGGAAUAAACGUAAGGCUAACAGACAACAAGCACGUUAAUGGGGCCACCU
rnacentral:lncRNA from 1 species